UUAAUAGACAAAGCAGUAGAAUCUGCCACAAUUUCUUCCAUGCCUGUAGCUACUAACAAAGAAGGAUGUGUUGUGUUAAUGAGCGGGGGGAAUCUCACUCUAUUCUUUAAGUUCCAAGAAGUCAUUGGAAUGCUUCAUGAAUGAGUUAUGUGUCUUCCUUUUGGACUUGGCAAAUCAAAAGCUUUGUUGUGGCCCCUCGGUCAAGUACCAGAAGAAUUUCCUUGUUAGCAGGCAUCUUUGUAGUGAGGAAUGAGAACUUCCAAAUAAAUGGAGAAAACAAGUAUUUGUUAGAUAGUCUUCUGAAUACUGUCGUCCCUAUGUCAAUUGAUGCAUAUAUUGAUGUAAGUACGCAAAAUCACGGUCUGACUAACAUCUACUUGAAAUCAUAAUCACUAUGUUUGAAGUACUUGAUGUAAGUUCUGCUACUGAUAAUGGCUUGUUGUAUAGCUAAUUGGCAAAUCUUUGAUUACCACAUUGAAUUUGUGCUUGAAAUAAUGAAACUUGAAAAACAGAAACAAGUAGUUAGUGGUUGAUUCAGCUGUGGCUAUUUUUUUUUUUCCUUUUUUUGUCUAUUAUUCAGCUCUGGCUAUUUUCGUUUCUUUCCUUUCUCUUUUCUUUUUAGUUUCACCAAUCUGAUUUUGGAAAAUCUCACUGGCUUGAAUAUUUUCGUAGGAAUUGUUGGGUUAAUGUUUUAUUAAACUCCUUAGCUUUUUGAGAAAUCAAACAUAUGAAAUUAGCAACCUGAUUGUUUGGAUUGCAUUUUUCUGAGUUGUGUCAAGUAUUAUACAAUUCAGGUAGCAUUUUUGUACACAAUUCAGAAAGCAUUUUUUCUGGUGACUUGGGCUUGGUGUAAUAAUCAUAUUAAAAUAGCAACCUGAGAAACCAGACAAGUUGCUAUCUACCAACAAAAAACAGAGGACAUGGAGGAAGUAGUAGUAAAAAGGAAUAGGCAUAUAAUGUGGAACUGAUGAUUGAUCCAUUGCAUAUAUAUGUGUAGUGCCUUUUUUAAUUGUAGGUGGAGAAUGCCAGCAUUUGUUGAUAUGCUCUUACUUCUGAACAUUGCUUUACUUUGUCCUCAAAUUCACAUGACUGAUUUUAAUUGCUUUAGUUGUAAAUGUCUUUGCAGGCCUCUAAUUGAUUAUUUAGUGUCAUUGAAUGUUAUGCAAUUAAGCAAUUACUACCAGUGGACAAGGUUUGAAUUAUUUGUGGCUUUCUUGUGACUGGCAACAAUGAGCCUUGGUUAGAGAAGGCUUUCUCGUCUUUCAGGAGGAACUACGAGGUCUUCUUCCAUGUGCUUGUGUGGCAGGGUCAUCUUAGCUGUCUUGCUUCCACCAUGGGCUGGCAGUGAAUACCAAUAACAUCACUUUGCCUGAUGAUGGUGGGGGAGCAUUGAGUGGGAUUUAUUUGGGAUUAAGGGGCUCUUGCGAAAAUAUACUCAGUUAUGCUAUGGGAUUACUUGGGGGGACUAAUAUGGUCUAGCCCAAAUUGGUGCCGCCCAAUUCUAUGAUGUAACAUAAAGCCCCAUUUGUGGUACUUUGAACACAUGGAUAUAUUUCAGGUCCACCAUUUUUUUUUU